rnacentral:rRNA from 1 species
AUUGAACGCUGGCGGCAUGCCUUACACAUGCAAGUCGAACGGCAGCACGGGUGCUUGCCCCUGGUGGCGAGUGGCGAACGGGUGAGUAAUACAUCGGAACAUGUCCUGUAGUGGGGGAUAGCCCGGCGAAAGCCGGAUUAAUACCGCAUACGAUCUACGGAUGAAAGCGGGGGACCUUCGGGCCUCGCGCUAUAGGGUUGGCCGAUGGCUGAUUAGCUAGUUGGUGGGGUAAAGGCCUACCAAGGCGACGACCAGUAGCUGGUCUGAGAGGACGACCAGCCACACUGGGACUGAGACACGGCCCAGACUCCUACGGGAGGCAGCAGUGGGGAAUUUUGGACAAAGGGCGAAAGCCUGAUCCAGCAAUGCCGCGUGUGUGAAGAAGGCCUUCGGGUUGUAAAGCACUUUUGUCCGGAAAGAAAUCCUUGGCUCUAAUACAGUCGGGGGAUGACGGUACCGGAAGAAUAAGCACCGGCUAACUACGUG